GUCCUAGCACCCGGCCGCCCUCAUAAUUAGGAAUUACACACUCACCUCUCUGUUUUUAUCAGUGUGAAAAUCUCUUUUUCUUUUCAGCCAACACUUUCUGAGCUGCUCAUCCACUUCCUCCAUCUUCCUCAUCGCCACAAGGUGAAUUCUGGGAUGGAUUCUCCUCAUCCACCAUGGUUGCCUCUGUUGUUAUGGCUCUGCUUGUAGAUGCAGAUGGAUCCUCCUCAUCCACCAUGGUUGCCUCUGCUGUUAUGGUGGCAGGAGAUGGAGAUUGCAGGACUGACUAUCACAACAAGGUUCAUCCUCCUGUGGAAAAUGUGUCUCUAAGAUUUUUUUUUCAUAAAGAGUUGAUAUGGCCUCUGGUGUCUUCCUGGAGUCUCCACACCAAGUCAUGACAGCAUCCAUCUUUCCUCUAUCCCAGAGUUUAAGUUGUCAGAAAUCAUGGCUUAUAAAGAAGACCACUAGGGGUCCCCAUACCAUCCAGAACAUAAUCCUAUCAGGCUGCAGCAUUAUCAUUGUCCCAGCUGAAGCACAGGCAAAGUCCAGGAAAUGAGGGCAAGACUAGCACUCCUCUGUGAUCACUCCUGUCCUAUCAGACUACGGCAUGAAAACAGAGAGGAUGGGGUUACAAAAGCAGCCAGCAGUGAUUGGAGGAAGAGACCUAGCACAGCACUGCAGACUCAGGGAGGAAGUGAAUGCAUGGUGAGUGAGGGCGGGCUCAGUGUUUGCCUCAGACACGCCCCCUACUCAUCAAUGGAUGUCAGAAUGAGUGAGCAGCAGAACAGAGGGAUUUGUGAGCCUAAUACGGAAGCUACACACAUAAAAAGGAAAUGUAAAGCAUCUGCCUGACCUAGUUUCCUGUGCACAGAUAGUACGGGACCGUAACCCAUUUGGUGCCGCCACCAGUUAGGACAAGAACUCAAAGUAAGUAGGGACAGGGCGGCAGGUAGAUUAGGGUUGCGCUUGCCACCAUUCAUUAUAUCUCAUGCCAAGUACUGUGAUGCAAUGCAUUCAGAAAGUCUUCAGACCCUUUCACUUUUCUCGUUUUAUCUGCUCUCAAUACCCCAUAAUGUCAAACUGCCAACAGAAUGGUACCAACCUUUGCUAAUCUAUUGAAAAGUAAAAACUAGUCAUCCGCCACGGAGCGAAGUUCGGGAUCCCUGCGAUCAGACAUCUUAUCUCCUAUCCUUUGGAUAGGUGAUAAGAUGUCUAGGGGUGGAGUACCUCUUUAAAGCCCCUUUGACAGUGAUUCCUCCAGUCUUCUUGGGAAUAAGGUCACAAGGUCUGGAUUUGAGGAUUUUCUGCCAUUCUUCUCUGCAGAUCUUCUCAGCUCUGUCAGGUUGGAUGGGGAAUGUCGGUGGAAGCCAUUUUUGGGGAAUGCUCUCCUUCCUCAGAUGACAGUACCCACGUAAACAUCAAACCAAGCCUUGUAAAUAUGAUGCCAUGUUUGGUUAUACUCAGAGAUUAAACUGAUCGGUUGUACAAAAGAACAAUCCCUUAACAUAUUACUAACAGAUAUUUAAUAAGGCAACAUUGAAUAAACAAAAUCACUGA